rnacentral:rRNA from 1 species
AUGGCUGCCAGCGUCGCGGGCUGCUUCUUCUUCUUCUUCUUCUUUGCUGUGGUUCUAGCAACGGCGUCCAGCGGCGGCAGUGCUGCACUCGUUGAACAUACGUUCAUCGUGAGCCAGAUGAAGCUGAAUCACCUGUGCAACGAUACGCUCGUCACCGUGGUGAACGGGCAGCUCCCCGGCCCAGCUAUAGAGGUCACGGAAGGAGACUCUCUGGUUGUUCAUGUCGUCAACAAGUCGCCCCAUGGAGUAACAAUUCACUGGCAUGGAGUGAAGCAGCAACUGAAUUGCUGGGCUGAUGGGGCGGGGAUGAUCACUCAAUGCCCGAUCCAACCGAACAAGAACUUCACAUACCGUUUCGACGUGGCCGGGCAAGAGGGCACGCUGUGGUGGCACGCUCAUGUCACCUCCCUCCGUGUGACCGUCCAUGGCGCCCUCAUCAUCCGCCCAAGAUCCGGGCCGGACUCGUACCCGUUCCCCAAACCCGACAAGGAGAUCCCAAUUGUUAUAGGUGAAUGGUGGGAGACAGAUCCUUUCGAGUUGGAUAGGAGAUUCGCGAACAGUGACUUUGCCGAUGUGCCCCGUUCAUCUACCAUCAACGGAAAGCUUGGGGACCUUAAUACCUGUUCCGGGGUCACCGAAGACAAUUAUGUUCUUGAAGUGGAGCUUGGCAAGACGUAUCUUUUGCGGAUAGUAAACGCUGCGCUUCACCCACAGUACUACUUCAAGAUCGCCGGGCACACGUUCACGGUGGUGGCCGUCGAUGCCAACUAUGUCAAACCAUACAUGACGGACACCAUCGUGAUCGCAGCAGGCGAGACCGUCGAUGUGUUGGUCGUCGCCGCCGCCGCGCCUACGGGCGGCAGGUACUACAUGGUCGCACUGGGCAUCAUGUCAUUGGGGCCCCUCACCAAAACCCCGGUGUUCAUUUCACGCGGGGUCAUGUCCUACACCGCCAAUGCCUCGGGCAAAGGAACGUCAGAUGAUACUGGUCCGAUAAUGGUCCCUGAGAUGCCCGACUAUCGUGACGAAACCAUGUCGUUCUACUUCCAUGGCAACCUGACCAGCCUGCGGCCGGUGCCAGUGCCCGGAAACAUCGACGAGCGACUGCUCAUUGCCGUUGACACGGGGAGACUGUGCAGACAAGGUAGUGUGCCAUCACCACCAGCCUACUGCAUGGUGACCCGCAUGAACAACAUAUCAUUCCAGCUUCCGACGACAACGUCAUUGCUCCAAGCAUAUUACAAGAAGGAUAUCACGAUGAUCACCUCCCUCCGGGACUUCCCAAGCAGGCCACCACCAAGGAUAGUGUUCAACCGCGGCUACACGUCGAGAGGGGUGUCGGUGUGGAGGGUGCGCUACAACACCACGGUGGAGGUUGUGCUGCAGGGGCCGCCAACGCCAGCCAGCUACUCUAACCCCAUGCACCUCCAUGGCCACGACUUCUUCAUCCUAGCGCAGGGGCUCGGGAGAUACAACGCGGAGAAGGAUGUGUACGCGUACAACCUGGUUGAUCCGCCCGUGAGGAACAUGGCCCUCGUCCCCAUGUAUGGGUGGACUGUCAUCCGAUUCGUCACAACUAAUCCUGGGGUGUGGUUCUUGCACUGCCAUCUCGCACAACACGUGUCGUCGGGCAUGGCGAUGGCAUUCGUGGUGGAGAAUGGACCAACGACCGACACCACUCUUCCUCCGCCUCCCGCAGAUUAUCCAAGUUGUGAUGACCCAGAUGAUAAAGUGGGGUAUGAAUGA